rnacentral:rRNA from 1 species
GCAAGUUGAGGGAGAAUUUCGGUGCUUGCACUGAGAGGGAACCGGCGAACGGGUGCGUAACACGUAUGCAACCUACCUAUAACAGGGGAAUAGCCCGAAGAAAUUCGGAUUAAUGCCCCAUAACAUUUUCGGAUCGCAUGAUUUGGAUUUUAAAGCUCCGGCGGUUAUAGAUGGGCAUGCGGCCUAUUAGCUAGUUGGUGAGGUAAUGGCUCACCAAGGCUACGAUAGGUAGGGGGUCUGAGAGGAUGAUC